UACGGAGGGUGCGAGCGUUGUCCGGAAUCAUUGGGCGUAAAGGGCGCGUAGGUGGCCCCUCAAGCGUGCGGUGAAAGUCAGGGGCUCAACCCCUGAUCGGCCGUGCGAACUGGGGAGCUUGAGCACUGUAGAGGCAGGCGGAAUUCCGGGUGUAGCGGUGGAAUGCGUAGAGAUCCGGAAGAACACCGGUGGCGAAGGCGGCCUGCUGGGCA
rnacentral:rRNA from 1 species